AUUGAACGCUGGCGGCGUGCCUAAUACAUGCAAGUCGAACGGAGUGGCGCACGGGUGAGUAAUAUAUAGCUAACCUGCCCCUUGCUGGGGGACAACAGUUGGAAAUGACUGCUAAUACGCAAUAGCAUGGGAUGAGACUAUAUCGUAUCAGCUAGUCGGUGGGGUAACGGCCUACCGAGGCUAUGACGCGUAACUGGUCUGAGAGGAUGAUCAGUAACAUUGGAAGUGAGACACCGUCCAAAAGCCUACGGGAGGGAGCAGAAGGGAAUAGUGCGCAAGGGGGGAAACCCUGAAGCAGCAACGCGGCGUGGAGGAUGUCACUUUACGGAGCGGAAACUCAUUUUGUUAGGGAAACGGUACCUAACGAAUAAGCACCGGCUAACUCCGUGCCAGCAGCCGCGGUAAUAC
rnacentral:rRNA from 1 species